AGCAAUGAAACCAUUUGAUCACUUCCUUCACUUUAUCUAAGGUUUGAGCUUUGGCAACUACAUCACAUAUAUAUUUCCUGCAAAUACUGAUGUUCGUUCGGUGAUACAUUAAUUUCCCUUGGCGCCUUCACAUUUUGAUGAUAGUUUGCCUUUGGCAACAUAGAACACGUAAUAAGCCUUCUUACUCAGAGGACGAUAUAUGUCAAUCUCUUCACUCUUUUUAUCAUAUAGAUAAUUGCAUGCAUCUACUCACUUCUCUUUUAUUAACUCGAUUCUUCUUUAUUCUGAACCACAUAGUUUAAACUCGAGUUGGACCAGUAUGGUUCCGACACAAAAUCGGUUCUAGUCUACAAAAGCUGGUUUAAAAUAGCUAGAGACUGUCAAAUCUUUGUACCUUGACCAGUACUCA
rnacentral:lncRNA from 1 species